UCAGCUGUGUGCAUUUUAGUUUUAGCAGAAACAGUAGAAAUCUGCUGCUCCAUAGUUCGCGGUAACAGGGUCACAUCUGGACCAACGGGACCAACCAUUAAACACUCGUCUGCUCAACUUUCCAUGUGUGAAGGUAGAAAGUGUGUGUGAGCUGAUGUGAAUUCAGCAGCAUGGGUCAGAGUGUAAGCAAGGAGGAGGGAGUCCCUCCCUCUGAAACCACUCUGUGUGGGGAACAUGAGAGCCAGACCAAAGCUCAGAGGAACCCACCUGGACCUCCACCCAGCUCUGUGUCCUUACAGAGUGACCAAUCUAGAAGUCUUGGUCCUGACUUUAAAUCAGGUGUGUGUCGUCCUGCAGAGAGGUAAUGUAUGUGUAAACGUUGUUGUGACUCAGUGUUUGUGAAUAAAUCCUCCAUCAUGUUUAAUGUCAGCUCAGCUUUGUUUCACACACAUUUCUAUCUUCAUAUGUGAAGCGGUGUGUGUUGGAGUGUAUCCACAAACACAGCAGUCAGAGUUUAAAGAGUGGAUGUUGUAGGAGGUGGUUCUGUUGUGAAGAGGCUGAGUGUCUGUAGGACUCCAGCUGCUCCAGCAGGGGUCUCCUUUGUGCUUCAAACAAACCCAGUGUAGGGAGGAACUUGACUGUUUGAUGUUUCAUGUGUGAACUGGUUCAUAGGGCAUUCAUACCACAACAGACUGCUUUAAAAAUCAGAAUAAUAAUUUUAAAAUAAUAAAAUCCAUAAAUUACAAUAAUACAAUUUAGCUUAUGCUAAAUCCAUCCAUCCUCUUCCAUCUAUCCGUGAAGCUGUUGUAGCAACAGUUUAGAUGGCAUACUGAAGGGAGACAAGAUUCCCAAAGGAUCAUACUGUGAUCUGACCACAGACAAAAUGCCCCAUUCUGGUUGUUGAAUGGUCCUGCAGGGACGUUCUGAACUGGAACUUCUGUUUCAUAGAAACCGUCUGUUUCUAUGCACCACUGUAAACCCAGUGCUCUCUCAACUGGAAGUUGAACUGUGUCCAAAUCCAGAUCCUUAAUUUCCUUUGCUCUUCUUUCCCUGGGAUUGACAUGAGCACUGUGCGACUGUUGCUGAUCCAUUUUGAAAGCUUAAAUCCUCCUUUAGCGCAGCUAAAGGCUAGCUUCGCAAUAACAGAAGUUUGACUUGACUGACGCGGGAAUGUUCUCAGGUAGCCUAGCGUUUGGCAAGGAGGCUGCAGCGCUGCAUUAUGGGAUCUG